rnacentral:rRNA from 1 species
AUUGAACGCUGGCGGCAUGCUUUACACAUGCAAGUCGAACGGCAGCGCGGGCUUCGGCCUUGCGGCGAGUGGCGGACGGGUGAGUAAUGCCUCGGAACGUGCCCAGUAGUGGGGGAUAGCCCGGCGAAAGGCGGAUUAAUACCGCAUACGACCUGAGGGAGAAAGCGGGGGACCGAAAGACCUCGCGCUAUUGGAGCAGCCGAUGUCGGAUUAGCUAGUUGGUGGGGUAAAGGCCUACCAAGGCGACGAUCCGUAGCUGGUCUGAGAGGACGAUCAGUCACACUGGAACCGAGACACGGUCCAGACUCCUACGGGAGGCAGCAGUGGGGAAUUUUGGACAAUGGGCGCAAGCCUGAUCCAGCCAUGCCGCGUGUGUGAAGAAGGUCUUCGGAUUGUAAAGCCCCUUUGGUUGGGAAGAAGGUCAGUAGGCUAAUACCUCGGUGGGAUGACGGUACCAAAAGAAUAAGCACCGGCUAACUUCGUG